rnacentral:lncRNA from 1 species
GUUCCUUUGGAGUCACAAACUGAGUUGAAAAGUGAAGGCAGGAUGUUUGUGCUCCUGAAAAAGUGGACAUUGUCUUCAUUUUAUGAACAGAGAGAGAGCAGGGAUUCCUUCAAAGAAUUUCAGGUCAUGCCCUGAAGUUCCAUGAUGUGUAUUUAAUAGACUAAAUUAUGGGGCUUAUUCUGUCUUGAAGAUUUCAGAUUAAGCACGCUGGACUGUGCAUUUUCAAAGUAUCUUCUUAAUUAGAUUUUCAACAGGAAAAAAAAAAAGGUAGUGUUAUACCUGGUAGAUGAAUGAUGAGAUUUUUGAUUAAUGUGAAUUUCACAUUUCGCAUAUGCUGG